AAGUCGUAACAAGGUUUCCGUAGGUGAACCUGCGGAAGGAUCAUUAUUGAAAUAAACCUGAUGGGUUGCUGCUGGUUCUCUAGGGAGCAUGUGCACACCUUGUCAUCUUUAUAUCUCCACCUGUGCACUUUUUGUAGACCUUUCAGGUCUAUGUUGCUUCAUUUACCCCAAUGUAUGUUAAUAGAAUGUUGUGCCUAUAUAAUAUAUACAACUUUCAGCAACGGAUCUCUUGGCUCUCGCAUCGAUGAAGAACGCAGCGAAAUGCGAUAAGUAAUGUGAAUUGCAGAAUUCAGUGAAUCAUCGAAUCUUUGAACGCACCUUGCGCUCCUUGGUAUUCCGAGGAGCAUGCCUGUUUGAGUGUCAUUAAUAUAUCAACCUUCUCUUUUUUGAGUUGUUUGGAUGUGGGGGUUUGCUGGCCUCUUAAAUGAUUCAGCUCCCCUGAAAUGCAUUAGCAGAACAACCUGUUCAUUGGCGUGAUAAUUAUCUAUGCUAUUGAAUGUGAAGGGCAGUUCAGCUUUCUAACCGUCCUCGGACAAUUCAUC
rnacentral:rRNA from 1 species